rnacentral:rRNA from 1 species
CGCCCUCGAUGAUCGGACGAACCGACGGAAACUCGGGCUAAUACCGAAUGUGCCCUCCAGCCAUAAGGCUGACGGGGAAAGGAAGCUUCGGCCUCCGCAUCGGGAUGGGCCCGCGGCCCAUUAGCUUGUUGGUGAGGUAACGGCUCACCAAGGCGACGAUGGGUAGCUGGUCUGAGAGGACGAUCAGCCACACUGGGACUGAGACACGGCCCAG